rnacentral:lncRNA from 1 species
CGUCGUAACACCCGUAAGACUGCGCGUGAAGAAAACUUCUGUAAAGGUUAAAUUAAGCAAGUGAAACACCUGGCCCUGCUCAUGGGUAAAGAGAACUUUAGGCCAGACAUGGUGUGGCACACCCUUCAUCCCAACACUUGAAAGGCAGAGGCAGGGGAUCUCAGAAUUCAGGGCCAACCUGAUCUACACACUGAGUUUCCGGUCACCGAUGGCUCCAUAGUGUGACUGUUUUGUAUGAAGAGCAAGUUUGGCUGGAAGAGAUGGCUUCCUUUGGUACAUGUGCAUAUACUUGCCCGGUAAAAUCUUUGCUUGGCAAAGUACAAGAAACUCAAGAGUAUCGAGUAGUGGCCCAGUCCUCUCACAGGGUUUCAUUUGUUCAUUCCCAUAAACAUCAGCAAUGUGAAGGACUGGAUACAAUUUUUUGUUUGUUUGGUUGGUUUUUGGUUUUUCGAGACAGGGUUUCUCUGUGUAGCCCUGGCUGUCUUGGAACUCACUCUGUAGACCAGGCUGGCCUCGAACUCAGAAAUCCGCCUGCCUCUGCCUCCCAAAUGCUGGGAAUAAAGGCGUGCGCCACCAUGCCCGGCUUUUUGUUUGUUUUAAGAAUGCCUUAGAAAAUGCAAAAUCUGAAGAAACUAUGUAAAUAUAUUGAACUUACUAGAAUUCACUAGGGAUUUGUUUUUGUUUGUCGGAAAUAGUCUUGCCAUGUAACCCAGACUGUCCUCGAACCAAUUAUAAAUCGUCUUGUUUCAACCUCUAGAUGGUGGGGGUGAAAGCUGUCUGCUUCCACAUCCAGCAUCAGUCGUUCAUACUCCCUCUACCCCUUUGAUUUCUGCAGACAUGGUUUCUCUGUGUCGUACGGGCCAUCCUAGAACUCUAGAUCAGGCAGGUCUCGAACUCAAGAGAUUCACCUGUCUCUGCUACCCUAGUGAUUGGGUUAAAGGUGUGUACCACCACCACCCAGCAUUUUUUAAAGAUUUAUUUAUUUUUUAUUUAUAUGAGUACAUUGCAGCUGUCUUCAAACACACACUAGAAGAGGGCAUCUGAUCCCAUUACAGAUGGUUGUGAGCCACCAUGUGGUUGCUGGGAACUGAACUCAGGACCUCUGACAGAGCAGUCAGUGCUCUUUACUGCCAUCUCUCCAGCCCCCGCCCAGUAUUCUUACAGAAACCUUUCUGGACUCCAUGCUUCACAUUUUUGCUUUAGAAUAUUAUCUCUAUUUUAGUUAAUUUUUAAAAUUGUGUGUAGAUGCGUGUGUCUGUACGGAUCUGUGCACAUCCAUGUAGUUCCUGAAGAGGGUGUGUCAGAGCCCCUGGGGCUGGAGUUAAUGGCUGUGAGCUGUCCCAUAGGUGUGCUAGAACCCAUGUUCGCUGCCAGACUUCUGUUCAAGGAAUGGCACUACGCCGUUUCUCUCGCCCCUAGAAAAUGAUCUUGACACUGUUUGAGAUGGAGGAUUACGUAAGUACAGGAGAUGGAAACAAGAAAAGACCUUAGAAGGAAUUACAAACAAAAAGUGUACUAUCAUUACAGUGAUUUUCAUUUUUAUCUUUUUGUAUCAAAUCAGGUAGUUUUUUUCUUUCACUUUAAGUUAUAUACAUUCACUGGUGAGUUGAUAAUUACUUGUUAAAUGCCAGGAAACAUAAAAAGUGAGUUGUUUUCAAGCCUUUGAGAUUAAUGAGUGGAGGAAAAAUGACUUUUUGUGGAUAUUGAGAUUUUUUUCUUGCCAUUUUCUUUUUAAGACUGUCAUUCUCUUCUAUGAACAAGAAACUUUUAUACUUUUUUGUUAACUUUUCUCUCUACCUGAUGUUUUUUUCUAACAUUUCUUGUCGCCAUGCCCUUUACACAACUUUCAAAACACUUUUAGGUUAUCAAAUGUUAACUCUUGUCUAUGUAGAAGGUAGGUAUAAAUGUCGCUCUAUAAUCAUAGAUUGACAUCACAUUUAGAAGUUGUUUCCAUGUCACAAGCUGUUCUUACUGUACAUGUAUACUUAAUAAUUUGCUCUCAUGUAAAUGUUGCUUUUCAUGCUUAUUUUGUUGUAUCUUUGAUUUUUUUAUUGUAAUUUCUCCUGUCAUUAUACUAAAAGAUAUAUUGGCAUUAGUGGCUUCUUGCCAAAGACUAAGCACCGUGUAAUAAAUCAUAGUCAAUCUCUCCAUAUAUAUACAUAUACAUACAUAUAUACUAUAUAUAUAUAUAUAUAUAUAUAUAUAUAUAGUAGCUAAGUAUGCCUCAUCAGUGAGAACAUUGCAUAAAUGUUCUGCAGGUAUUGGUGGUUAGCUUAUAAGGCUUUAUGGGAUUCGUUAGAUAUAGUUAGGUGCCUCUUGAAUGUACUGAGAUGUGAGUAUAAUUCCAUAUUUGUUAAUUGUGGUUAUUAUUUGGAGGUCCUCAAACAGUGCAGUGCAGGAAGCUUUAAUCCAUGAGCAUAGCUCGGCACGUUAGUGAGGAGAGGGUACUUUGCUCACUUUCAUGACUCAGGAUGUUUUACGUUUUGUUGGAUUUACGGACAACUUUACAGGGUGGCCUUUUCUUUUGUCCUAGUUUGGGACACCUGCCUUCAUAGCCGAAGACUGGCCUUUGCUUUGAACACCUGUGUUCUGGGCCAGUUUUUAACCUUUCAGAGUUUCUAUACCAACACAAUAUUUCCUCCAAUAUAUUGGUUGCUAGUCUUAACAAAUGCAAAUGUUCCUAAUUACCCAUUGGUUAUGUUCUCAUAACCAAUGCAAGGGGUAGCCAUAGCAAUGAAAGGGUAACCAUAGCAAUGAAAGGGUAGCCAUAGCAAUGAAAGGGUAACCAUAGCAAGAAAUUGUACUCAACCUAUUGAACAUGAAACUUUAGGCAUUUCCAGGUCUCUUACAUUAGGCCCAGAUAGGGGGAAGUAAUUUCUUAUGCAUAUUACUUUUAGCUUUAAAUUAAAAAAAAAUGGCAUGUAUUAUUGAGCAAAGUAAUGGUUUUUGUCAUGAUAUUUUGACAGUUCUACAUAUUUGACUCUCUUCACCCAUUUUUUUUUCUAUCUCCCAACCCCUUCCCUCUGCCUAAUGGUCCUCAUUUCCUCACAAGUAGACCCUUAGAGUCUCUCUUUUGCCUACUAGAGUCUGUGUAUGCUAAAACACAGGCUGUGUUGGCUGAGCCUGGCUUCUUUCAUUUAAUGUGAUUUCUAGUUCCCUUCAGUUCUCUGGGCAUCAGUGUAUGCCAUCGUAUAUUUGUGGAGGUCAAAGCAGUUUUAGGAAUCUGUUCUCAUGUCCUACCUUGUGGAGGAAAGGUCACUUACUUAUGCCAUGCUGCACACUGCAGGCAUCUAGCCCACCAGCUUGCGACCGAUUCACCUGUCUACACACACACACACACACACACACACACACACACCAUGCGCGCACACACACACACACCCAUCUCCCUAAAGGAGAGUUAGGUGCUACCAUAUCUGAAUUUGUAUGUGGUCCCCAGGGAGCCAGGUUUGCUUAUCAAGUACAUUUAUCUAUUGAACCAUCUUCCAGGGCUCUUAGGUAGUAAAAUUUUAUACAACCAAGUGUUCUUUCUGGAUCCUGGACAUUAUGGUUAGGCACCAGGGUCAUGGGGAGUUAGGCAUGGAAUGAAUGUUCUAGAAGACCUCACAUACAGAUCACUGGAUCAGAUUCCAAGCAGUCAGGAGUCUGAUUAUUAAGGUAUAGUCAUAUUUGCUUUUAUUUUGAUUCUUUCACUCAUCUACAUUCUUUCCAAUCUUCUUAGCAAUUAUAAAUACAAAUAUGUUUAAUAUAAUUCUACUACUGGGUGUGGUGCCCUUAAUCCGAGCACUUGGGAGGUAGAGACAGAGGCAGGUUGAAUCUCUGUAAGUUUGAGGCCAACCUGGUCUACUUAAAUGAGGUCCAGGCCAGCCAGAGGUAAAUAAAUUGUAAGAUUGUCUC